GAAAAACGCAUACGCCCAAAUGAUCAUAACACUAACAGGGACAGCAUAUAUACGAAACACUCGGUAACCAAAAAUGGAUAUUCCUCCAAGGUACAAGGUAAAAAUAAGGAUAAGUAGUAUUUGAGGAAGGCUGAUUUCUACACAACUACCAGCUUGUGGAAAGCCAUAGCUAAAAAAUGCUAAACCCACUGCAGCUACUGUUGGUGCGACCACAACGGGAUUUACUAACCGUAGAAAAAGGGACAUCAAACCACUGUAACCCAAGAAGCUCUGGAAAAUCGAUCCAACAAUUAUAGCUCCUUGUAACUCCCUCAUUAUGUACCUAAAUUUAUGAUCAGCAAGAUUCCGGUACUCCUCAGAAUUCAUGAUAACUAAUGCAGGAGCCAAAUAUACAAAUGAACUCCCUUGAACUAACGGCAGACGGGUGCCAAAAUAUGAGUGCAGUAUUGUGGUAAGGCCAGACAAUAGCAGCACU
rnacentral:misc_RNA from 1 species